rnacentral:rRNA from 1 species
UACGGGGGGGGGCAAGCGUUGUUCGGAAUUACUGGGCGUAAAGGGCUCGUAGGCGGCCAACUAAGUCCGACGUGAAAUCCCCAGGCUUAACCUGGGAACUGCGUCGGAUACUGGAUGGCUUGAAUCCGGGAGAGGGAUGCGGAAUUCCAGGUGUAGCGGUGAAAUGCGUAGAUAUCUGGAGGAACACCGGUGGCGGAAGGCGGCGUUCUGGACUGCAACUGACACUGAGAGACGAAAGCCAGGGGAGCAAACGGG